AAGGUACCAGAGAGAAUUUAUGUUGGUCUUUUGGUGCUAUCCUGCAGCGGCGUAAUACGAACGUAAAGUCUGUAAAAUGAGAAACUCAGAUGUGUUUUUCUGGUUCCCAAUAAAUCUUUUUACCGUGAGGGCCUAAAGUAACUCCAAGACGGAAAAGACAAUAUCAGGCUUAUCCAAAUUAGCAAACCCCUUUGAUCUGAGCCCAGCCCUGUCUUACUUUGAUAGCUAUUAGUUACAUCUGGCAUUUUCAUAUGCUAAUUUCCCUCUCCCUUCCCCAUAUAUUAAUAGAAGUGGAAGUAAACAUAUAAACAAACUUCUUUUCAAUAGAUAAUCAACUUUUGAUAUAAAUGUGGUGGUGACACUGUCUUUCAGCAUAUGUUCCAAUCACCAUUAAACUUCAAAGCACUGUGCAAUCAAGACCUGCUUCUUCCCUACAACCAAAUCAGAGGAUUGAAUGCAGGAGGGCUGGCUAGAGAUGUGACUCUGCACAGAUGUGAGCAUCUCUUUCUCCCCAUCCCCUUUCCUUACUCAAAUCAGGGAUGUGGGAUGGAAAAAAAUCAGAGCUGCAGGAGGAAAAGAACAGGAAGCAGCCAGCAUCAAGAACAACCUCUUUUCUGCUUGGCAGAAGUGAAGAGCACUUGGAAAAAAAUAGUGAUGCUACCAUAAACUGAGUAAGUACUUCUACAAAUGACCUUUACUGCUGAGCCUGAGAGAGCUCGAGGCUUGCCCUGUGCCUGGGAUGUGUUGUGCCACCCUGUUGGCAGAGCUCUGAAAUUAGCCAGGCUUUUCCUGCCUUACCUCCUCUAACACACUUGCUCCAAGUGCAGGGACCUGGAGACUUCUUUCUCUUAGAAAUGCUUUCUAGACAGUAUUGGCAUGGGUAGACUUGCUGCAACCUUGGAGAUGCAAGCCAUAUCAGGCCUGCUUAUUUUUAAAGUAUGGCAGGGUUAUUUUCUUCCUGGAUGCUGCCCAUGUUCUUGUCCGGGUGGCUAGCAUGCUUUCAUAAUGUCUGAGAACGUUAAGGAGGAGAAAUUCUAACAUAACCAUGCCCUGAUAGUACACCUCCUCUUGCUCUUGGCCAUCCUGUCUGCUGUUAGAGCUGUGUGUGCUGGGAGGCAGUGAAGAGUUCUGUUAAUUCCAGAGAAAUUCUGGAUCAGAUAGGUCUCUGUUGGAGGUCUGGGCUGAAUUACUUCUGCAUCCGUCAGCAAGCACAAGACAGGAUGGCAUGCAGAUUGUUUUUUUUUGCGCUGAGGGCUGUCUUUGACUCCCUGAAUAAGAAAGCAUCUUUACUCCCUGCCUCUAAUGAGCUGAGAGCUCCUGGUUUCCAGCUCUGCAGUGCAUGUGUGAAAUUGGCCAGCAGGAUCUGAGCUGGGCCUCAAGCUACUGCCUGGAUUCUCUUUCAAGGCUCCUCGAGCCUCACCCUCAACAUGUCCAAACAGCAGCAUGCUUAAAGAGGACCUCUAUGAGUGCACUGCAUGAGCCUCUGAGCAUGUGGCGAGAAUGUUAAUUAUUGCGUGCUUGCCUUUGGUUCAAGGUGCGUUUCUGUAAGGUCAUGGCUGUGCUUAUCACUGUGGCCUCCAACCAGCACAUCACGUAUCUGAGAAUUUCCUUAAGAGCAUUCUUCACCUACAAGCAGGUACAAAAGUCUUUGCUUUCAAGAGGAAGAGACCUCACUUCACUGAGUGCCUAGCUGGAAGUCGAACGGGUUUUGAUCCCUACAUUGAAAGCAAUUGAAGCAGUCCAGGUUACAGAUGAGUCCAGAAAACUUCACAGUGAUUCUGCUGUUGUAAAUGUUAUAUUGCCUACACUAAAACCCCCAUAGUUGCUCGCAUUUACAACUUAAUUACUUGUUAUGUUAAAAAUUAGUUACGUUGCUUGAGAAUAAUGUACUUAAAUUGCAUUACAAGCAUUGUUUUGGCACUGAUUCUGAGGUUUGUUUUUUUUUUUACAUAGCCAAGUAGUUUGCUUGAAUAUAAUCAACUGUUUGCUUGAGCUCAAACUUGAGUUUUGCAGAAUCAAACCCCAUAUUUUUGUUGUAGGCUCUGAAACUGUGACAUUGCUGUAUGUGUUGCAUGACAGCUGUCAUUUUUAUAUUAAUAGUAUAAUCUAUCGAGAACUUUGGUAUAAACACUGUAGUUGACAUGUUUAUGACAAAGAAUUGUAUGUAGCAUUUAGUGCUGGAGGCUUUAGCACUGUGUCUGAGCAGCAGUUCUCUAACGUGCCCGUUUAUUUCUCCCACACUCAUGUUUACCUUGUUUUCCCACAUCCUGAAAUGUCAGGAGCUGCACACUUCAGCUCAGGCCACUGUGCCUAACAAGAUGAGAUUUAGCUAAUACAACAAAAAGCAAAUUCCUGGGUGGAAGUGAGGUCUGUGCUGAUGCUACUACUUUUCUUUUGAAUCGGCUGGUUUUACGACCGAUUUAUCUGAUGGUGUGUCAGAGCGUAUUUCAGCAUGACUUUGAGUAAGGUGUAGCUGGCUGGUGUCUCAGUGUAGACCCUGGAGUAACAGUGUGGCAGAGCUGUGAAGCUGCAGUGUCCCAGUGAAUUGGUGGUGGUUUGGUAGAAUGGCAGGAAGCUGAGAUCUGGGUAGGACACAACAUACUGAUCCUCUUUUGAGUGCUGUUGAGAGUGGCUGCAUAGAAAGAGUGGGGUCAGGAAGAAAAAUGUUGCAUUUGCUGCAGUUACUACUCGUGUCUGACCUGGAUCUAGGCACAGGCUUGCUCACCAACUCCUCACUUGUCAUGUCCAUUAAACACAGGCAGGUCUGUAGACCAUCUCUCUAGAGCCUCCAGAUCCCAGCAGUGGAAGGCAAGCCAGCCUGAUGGGCAGCAGGAGCAGAAUGGCAACUGUGAGAUGCUGCUUCUGAUCAGCCUUUAGUAGAGCUGCCACUUUGGGGUUGGGGCAAUGGUCUAACUUCUGGAGGGAAGUGAUAGCAGCAGCAGCCAGUGGCUUUUGUGGCAGAGCCAAGGAAGGCACUGAGACAAAGUGCUUCUAACAGUUCAUCUGAAUUCUUCAUACACAGUGGCAGUUCAAAAGCAAUUAGCAUCCCUGCCAGAGCUUGGCUGCAGCACUGUGGAGAGCACUGCUGGGGAGGUGACAGAUCUGCUCUCCAUCCGUGCUCCACCAAGUGAUCACCAGGCUCAUGGGGAGGAGCCAUGGCACACUGUCCCCAGCUGAUCAGAGCCCAAUUGUGGAGUGCUGCUGCUGUGCUUGAUCCCAGCAUUAUGACAUGGGCAGGUAGCAGGGAUGUCCCCCUCUCCCUUGCCAGGAAUGGGAAAGUGACCAAGAGGAGCAGAGAAAUACAAAGAGAUUUGACAGUAUGCGACAUCCCAACUGCACCGGGCAAUGUAACUGUGCUCAGCUCUCCCAUCAUGUGUAUUGUUUCUGGCACUCCCUCCAAAAAACUGUGUUGCAAAACAGGGGCUCACAGUCAAUUGUACCAUCUGUUGGAAAGGUCAUUAGCUCCAUUUGCGUGCCCUUGUGCCUAAUUUGCAGAUGCAGAAUAGUGACCCAGUUGCACGCAGGUGAGACUCUACCUUUGACUUUUUCCAAAUGAAGCUACAAAUGGCCACAAAUUUUGAUGGUUCUCCAAAAGAUGUGCUCUGUUUGUACCAUCUCAGUGCUGGGACUGGGAGGGCUCAUUGGUUCAAAGGGGGAGUUGCUGCUACAGCCAGCUUGGUGUUACACAGCAUCCUGACCCCAAACGUGUGAUUCUUAUUGACAACGUCAGUCAGAAUUGCUAGCUUCUGCAGUACUGUGACACCUGCAGCUCCUUUUGGAAAUAAUCUACUGACAUGCAAGUAUAGGUUUCUAAUUCAGAAGGGAGCAAAAGAAGGGAUGGAAAAUUGUCUUUGUGCUGGAUUUAAUAUUUACAUCUCAGACUUUGCCAAAUAGGUUUGUUAUUUAUAGCAGUAGCAGCAGUAAUAUUCAUCAGUUGCCAUGGACAUACUAAGCUUACCAAGUACAACAGUGAACCACAGUCUGCAUGGGAAUAAUUUUAAAAUGCUUUCAUGCUGAGUGAAAUAGUUUGUAUUAAAUGUAAGAGUUAAAUGCUAGGUUUCUCUAGUGCCAUUUCUGGGAUUUCAGAUAUAAAAAUGGAAAUAAUUUAUUGGAAAUGUAAUGGGAAGGGCAGUGCUAUAGACAAGAACCCUAAAGAACUUACUUAAAGAACUAGGUACCAUUUAGGUUCACCAUUUACUGUGCUUAAAAAGCAGCAUAUAUAAUGAGAACACCUAGAAUUCCAUUAAUAAGGAUAUAUUUUUGAUGAGCUGAAGAACUAGGUUGAAAGUAACAUUUUGUAUGUUACCUCUUAAUGGAAGCACAUUUAGGGA